AGCAUAACAUUUUCGGAGCAAUUCUAUGCUGAGGCCAACACUGGCUAUCUAGCUUGGAGACUCAAAACAGUCCAACGCACCACCUAUGACGGCUUUCGUCGGCGUUCCAGGAACGAUUUCCAGGACAGCCCAACAACCCAACGAGGGACUCUGUUAGUUGGUGGACAGCUCUUUGCGCUUUCUUGACACACCCGGAUUGAUUGAACAGGAUUUCUCAAUGAUGUUUGGGGCUGAAGUAUCUGGGCAGUUUCCUGCAAAGUGGCCUUCAUAUUUCAAGGACAAAGUCAUCGCAGAAUGCCAGAGUCUUCCCCAAAGUCUCCAUGUCGAGGAGUUGCUGGCUUUUGACACUGAGGCUGAGAAUGACUUUGAUGUCUUCAAGGCUGGGAUAGUGAUAUGUCAGCUCUUCUGUUGCUGUUGCAUCUCCUGCCUCCUUCAUCAAGAGGCCACAAACAAC